rnacentral:rRNA from 1 species
UACGGAGGGUGCAAGCGUUGUCCGGAAUUACUGGGCGUAAAGGGCGCGUAGGCUGUGCUGUAAGUCAGGCGUGAAAGCCCCGGGCUCAACCUGGGAAUUGCGCUUGAUACUGCGGCGCUGGAAGGUGGGAGAGGAUGGCGGAAUUCCCAGUGUAGAGGUGAAAUUCGUAGAUAUUGGGAAGAACACCGGUGGCGAAGGCGGCCAUCUGGCCCAUUUUUGACGCUGAGGCGCGAAAGCGUGGGGAGCAAACAGG